GCCCUAAAGGGGCGGGGGCGCGCGAGGCCGUGAGGGCCGUGUGGUGGCUUCCGGUUCCGCCGGGCGCGGGGGCCGCGGCGCUUCUCGGCCGGGGCCUCGGUGCGGGCGGUGCCGCCGCUGCUCCGUGCCCGCCAGCGGGAACGGCCCCGGGGCGCCCUCUGGGCGGCGCCGCCUCCGCCUUGGCAGCCCACUCCGCCCCGGCCUGCGGGACCAGCCGCCUCCGGGCUUAGUGAGAGCGGCGUUCGCCAGGUGCGGGUGAAGGACCGCGGCGAGCUGAGGAGCUCGCACCGGCCGCUCGCACCGGCCGCUCGCACCGGCGGGAAGGCAGCGGCCGCCCAGGGGAUGCUGAGGCGGUGCUGCUCGGCUCUCCAACGCUCGAUGUCGUGCCCUGGCCCUCUGUUUGACUUUCCCUGGCCGGUCCGGGCGGUGAGGUGGGACCAGGCCUUGCCCACGCGUGUGGUGACCGAGUAUUUUGCAGUCACAGGGAAUCCCCGUCCUUCAGUAUUACCGGAAGGGGAGAAAACACCAAACCUUUUACUGACAUAGGAAUUGGUCUUGUGAAUUGGCUUGUGCUGAACUGUACGUGCUCAAAGGCUCCUUCCAAGUAUUUGCUGUACUUCUAUUGUUCUGGACUUGAAGACCGUGACUAAUUAUUUCUGUGGAUAAGCUGGCCCUGCAACAUGAGUUAUCUCAAGUUUAAAUUGUCCUGGUUGCAUGAGGAGAAAGUAAUCUUUUCUUUUUCCUUUUGUUUUUCUCUUUUUAUUUUUUAAAUUCUGGUGUGUUGAUGUACAUACUAACUGAUAUGCAAACAGCCCUAAAUGUUGUAAUGAAUGGAUACAGAGGACAAACUUUCCUUUAAAAUGUUUUUCACAGAUUUUCAGUGUCAACAUGACUUCAGUAGGACAAACUCUUGUAGUGCCUCUGUAGUGGAACAUGAGGAAUAAAAGAUGUUUGGCUUCUUUACUUAUUUAUACC
rnacentral:lncRNA from 1 species